AAUAAAUUAGAUAAAACGCUUACAUUCUGUUUUAAAGGAGCUGAUCAACAUGGGAACGAUUGUAUGCCAGACUUGCAAUUCAACAAUUGAUCAUUUCGAGGAUGAAAAGGUAACAGUCCUUUAUUCAAAAUGCACUUGCGACAAGUGCUCUAGCCACGAAGAUGAAUUAUAAAAACGCUUGAUUGAAUAGCAAAACAGGAUUCCGCCCGGAAUCCUGUUUUUUUAU
rnacentral:sRNA from 1 species